GACCUGAUAGCAUAAUUUGUAGUGUACCUGCUGGAAAUGUUCCCGAUGCAAAUGUCGACGCAGGAAAUCCCCGUUCGAUCCGGGGUCAGGUCG